rnacentral:rRNA from 1 species
CGUGUAGGCGGUUUGGUAAGUCUGAUGUGAAAGCCCUGGGCUCAACCCGGGAAGUGCAUUGGAAACUGUCAGACUUGAAUACGGGAGAGGGUAGUGGAAUUCCUGGUGUAGGAGUGAAAUCCGUAGAUAUCAGGAGGAACACCGGUGGCGAAGGCGGCUGCCUGGACCGGUAUUGACGCUGAGACGCGAAAGCGUGGGUAGCAAACAGGAUUAGAUACCCUGGUAGUCCACGCCGUAAACGAUGAGUACUAGGUGUUGCGGGUAUUGACCCCUGCAGUGCCGCAGCUAACGCAUUAAGUACUCCGCCUGGGGAGUACGGUCGCAAGACUAAA